UUCAUUUGUAUAUUUGCUUCCUCAUUUUUUCUGAGAGUGUUAAGUAGAAUUUGCCUAUUUAUUUUUUCUGUACUGGGGAUUGAACUCAGGGCCUUCUCACUGAGCUACAUACAGCUUUAUAUUUAUUCAAUGAAUAAAUCAAUGAUUAAAUAAGUGAAAUGACCCAAGUAUGAAUGGUUAUGGUAGAAAUAACACAAAUAUUAUGUCAGCAAUAUUUUAUUUCCUCCCAAAUUUAAUCUUUACUUGAAAUUGAUAAUUAGGAGAGCAUAAGAUCUGAGUCAUGUAGUUCUUAUAUAUUUUAUUAUAAGACGGUUGUAGCUUUUCAGAUAUGGGGGCAGUAGAUUAUAGUUCAAACAGGACAUUGCUUCUACUAACUUGAGGCAAUCUGAGUACUGAGUGAACUUUCAACUAUUAGGUAGCACAUACCCCCCACACUCUUCCUUCUCUUUGUUCACAGAUGGUCAACAGAGCUAAAGUAAAAGGUGGUUAUAAAGUAGACAGUGGUUGCAGUGGAUUCUGCUCUUCAGUGGUGGUUUCCUGUGAGGACUUUCCUCUUUUUCCUGUUCUCUCUCCCUAUUCAGUGAGGAGGAUGUUGCCUGGCAUUGAAAUACAGGAACAAUGGGGCAGGCAACAUAAGGAACAAAGAAGGGAAGGAGGUUGUAGAUUCCACUGGAAACUGGGCUUAGCUUUGGAGUUUAACCAGCAAUGUUUUGGUGUUAGCUGAGUCUCUUCCUGAAGGUCUGUGUUCUAUCAUGCUUCCUGUGAACAUCUGACUCCACCCAGCCACAUUCUGCAGGAGGAAACUGGAUGAACAAAGAGCAGUUUGCAUAAGACUAUUCUGGCCAACUGUGGACUGAGACAUCUGAAACUGUAAACCCAAGAAAGCAGCUGUUGCAGGGAGAAAUGCCUUACUGGAAGAGCAUGGACCAGCACCUUGACCUAUGGAGACCUGACUCAGUGGCCCUAUCCCACCUGACAUAAGGCAGUGUCCCUGAAGGUGCCUAGUGUUUCCAGGGUCUCACUAUAUAGCCCAGAAUGGCUUGAACUUCAGAUCUUUCAGCCUCAGCUUCUUGAAAAGCUGGGAUUACAGGUGUGCAAUACUGGAC
rnacentral:lncRNA from 1 species